rnacentral:pre_miRNA from 1 species
UCUUCAUUUCACACACUCUCUCGUCGAUCGAGCCGGCGAGAGAGUGUGCAAAUGAAGAGA